rnacentral:rRNA from 1 species
GAUGAACGCUGGCGGCGUGCCUAAUACAUGCAAGUCGAGCGAACAGACGAGGAGCUUGCUCCUCUGACGUUAGCGGCGGACGGGUGAGUAACACGUGGAUAACCUACCUAUAAGACUGGGAUAACUUCGGGAAACCGGAGCUAAUACCGGAUAAUAUAUUGAACCGCAUGGUUCAAUAGUGAAAGACGGUUUUGCUGUCACUUAUAGAUGGAUCCGAGCCGCAUUAGCUAGUUGGUAAGGUAACGGCUUACCAAGGCAACGAUGCGUAGCCGACCUGAGAGGGUGAUCGGCCACACUGGAACUGAGACACGGUCCAGACUCCUACGGGAGGCAGCAGUAGGGAAUCUUCCGCAAUGGGCGAAAGCUUGACGGAGCAACGCCGCGUGAGUGAUGAAGGUCUUCGGAUCGUAAAACUCUGUUAUUAGGGAAGAACAAAUGUGUAAGUAACUAUGCACGUCUUGACGGUACCUAAUCAGAAAGCCACGGCUAACUACGUG